rnacentral:rRNA from 1 species
AGUGAACGCUGGCGAUAGGCCUAACACAUGCAAGUCGAACGGCAGCACAGUAAGAGCUUGCUCUUACGGGUGGCGAGUGGCGGACGGGUGAGGAAUACAUCGGAAUCUACUUUUUCGUGGGGGAUAACGUAGGGAAACUUACGCUAAUACCGCAUACGACCUACGGGUGAAAUCAGGGGAUCUUCGGACCUUUCGCGAUUGAAUGAGCCGAUGUCGGAUUAGCUAGUUGGCGGGGUAAAGGCCCACCAAGGCGACGCUCCGUAGCUGGUCUGAGAGGAUAAUCAGCCACACUGGAACUGAGACACGGUCCAGACUCCUACGGGAGGCAGCAGUGGGGAAUAUUUGACAAUGGGCGCAAUCCUGAUCCAGCCAUACCGCGUGGGUGAAGAAGGCCUUCGGGUUGUAAAACCCUUUUGUUGGGAAAGAAAAGCAGUAGGUUAAUACCCCGCUGUUCUGACGGUACCCAACGAAUAAGCACCGGCUAACUUCGUG